GAAAAGCGUAGUCGAUGGGCAACGGGUUAAUAUUCCCGUACUGGUGGUAACUGCGAAGGGGGGACGGAGAAAGCUAAAUCAUCCGGGCGACGGUUGUCCCGGUUUAAGCGUGCAGGUGGACUGACCAGGCAAAUCCGGUCGGUUGUUAACACUGAGGCGUGACGACGAGCCACCACGGUGGUGAAGUGAUUGAUGCUCUGCUUCCGGGAAAAGCCUCUAAGCUCCAGGUUACCAUUAAUCGUACCCCAAACCGACACAGGUGGUCAGGUAGAGAAUACU
rnacentral:rRNA from 1 species